AAACUUUGCACUUUAUUGUCUCUCUCCUGGCUUUACUUCAUUCGCAAAGCUUUGAUACUAAGCUAGCCCAGUACUUGACAAUGGCUGGAGCAUUAAAAUUACUAAUUGCUCUGAUUUUAAUCAUUUCAGUGGCCAGUACAGGUUCAGCUGCAGUGCAGCAGCAUGUUGUUGGUGGUGAUCAGGGUUGGGAUGUUUCCUCGGACAUUGCUUCUUGGUCAUCAGCGCGCAGUUUCAGGGUCGGAGACCUUAUAUGGUUCGGGUACAAAGCAGAAGAGGAGAGUGUGGUGGAGCUGCGUAGCAUCGAGGAAUAUAUAUCGUGCGAUUUAUCUAACCCCCUCAGUAUUUUAACCGACGGUUUGAACAAAAUCCCCCUUGAAAAACAAGGAUUCAGGUACUUCACAAGUGGAAACACUGAAAGCUGCCAGAAUGGCUUAAAGCUACACGUGGAAGUACAAUCACAAGACAAAUAUAAAUUAACAACCGUUGGAUCAUCAGAAGACGGCUACAAAAUGGUUGUGGCAACUGGGCCGUCACCAUCGAUAUCGGCUCAUGACAAUGAGUUUUGUUUUGUGCUGCUAAUCGGUGCUGUAGCUUUGCAUGUCGCUAUGGCUUGGCACGAAAAUUCGCUAAUUUAAAGCUUUUUUCUUUCUUAAUUACCCAUUUGUAAGUUUGUCCGUUAAUAUUGAUCGACAUGCAUGUGUAUCUUUUUUUCUUUGACGAACAAAUAAUUUUUAUUA